GGGGGUGUAGCUCAGUGUUAGAGUGCUAGUCUACCAUGUGUGAGGUCCUGGGUUCCAUCCCCAGAACCACCA
rnacentral:tRNA from 1 species